rnacentral:rRNA from 1 species
AGAGUUUGAUCCUGGCUCAGGAUGAACGCUAGCGGGAGGCUUAACACAUGCAAGUCGAGCGGGAUUAGCAGCAAUGCUAUGAGAGCGGCGCACGGGUGCGUAACGCGUAUGCAACCUGCCUUAUACAGGGGAAUAGCCCAUGGAAACGUGGAUUAACGUCCCAUAGGAUCACGGGAUCGCAUGGUUUUGUGAUUAAAACUGAGGUGGUAUAAGAUGGGCAUGCGUCUGAUUAGGUAGUUGGUGAGGUAAUGGCUCACCAAGCCGACAAUCAGUAGGGGUUCUGAGAGGAUUACCCCCCACACUGGUACUGAGACACGGACCAGACUCCUACGGGAGGCAGCAGUGAGGAAUAUUGGUCAAUGGCCGGAAGGCUGAACCAGCCAUCCCGCGUGCAGGAUGACGGCCCUAUGGGUUGUAAACUGCUUUUGUACCUGAAGAAACCUGGUUACGAGUAACCAGUUGCCGGUAAGGUAUGAAUAAGCAUCGGCUAACUCCGUGCCAGCAGCCGCGGUAAUACGGAGGAUGCAAGCGUUAUCCGGAUUCAUUGGGUUUAAAGGGUGCGCAGGUGGGAAAAUAAGUCAGUGGUGAAAUACUGCCGCUUAACGGUAGAAUUGCCAUUGAUACUGUUUUUCUUGAGUAUGGUUGAGGUAGGUGGAAUGUGUUGUGUAGCGGUGAAAUGCAUAGAUAUGACACAGAAGAACGCCGAUUGCGAAGGGCAGCUUACUAAGCCAUUACUGACGCUGAGGCACGAAAGCGUGGGGAUCAAACAGGAUUAGAUACCCUGGUAGUCCACGCCGUAAACGAUGAUCACUCGCUGUUUGCGAUAUACAGCAAGCGGCUGAGCGAAAGCAUUAAGUGAUCCACCUGGGGAGUACGAUCGCAAGGUUGAAACUCAAAGGAAUUGACGG